GCAGUGCGGUUAAAAGUUACAAUGCUGAAAAGGGGAGGGCUAACAAAAUGCCUAAAUUAAGACUACUCCCGGGCGUACCUAAACAACCGGGUGGAAUUGAGUGUGGCUACUAUGUUAUGCGGUACAUGAAGGAUAUUAUUAAUGAUGACACACUUUCCUUUUCGACCAAGUGGGCGGUAAAGACUCGGAAAGGAUAUACCCAACAACAACUUGACGAGGUGCGCAUGGAGGUGGCCGACUACUUGCAGACCUUGUUGUAGAUUCUGACUAGGAUGGGGAUUUUGAGUAAGGCUAGAUAGCUUUUGGUUCACUUUGACUACUUACAGACCUUGUUGUAGAUUCUGACUA